rnacentral:lncRNA from 1 species
UCGAGUCCUUCCAGAUAUUUGCUUUAUUUAUAUAAUAAAUUUAUUUUCGGCUUCAAACUUACUUUUUCAGGACAUAUCAGACUGCAAUUAUUAAGAAAGUAGGCACAUAUUAUAAUAAGCAACACGUAGCCAAGACAUCAAAACAUAUAUUGUUGUACACUAAAAAACAACAAACAAGAGUAAUUGUGGCCGCACGGCUCAUGCAUUUUGACCGAGUGCUGUAUACCAACGAGCUUGAUUGCUCUUUUCGUUCCCUAAUAGAUCACCAACCGGAACCAUUUGAACAGUUCUGAUAUUCUGACCUUCACCCCGAAUUUCCAUUGCAUCCCAUCCCAAAAGGUUAUGACACGCUGAUGCCGCUUGACAUCUCCUUGUCUCCA